rnacentral:lncRNA from 1 species
GGCCCGUUCUAAAUGUCUUCUUAUUUUAUCUCAAUUUCUCAGGUUUUGUCUAAGCUUGACAGAAACUUUGACAGCCUGUCCCAUGUAUGACGGCACUUCAGAAUUGACGUCAGCUAUACUUCAACUUAUUUACACCAAAUUUCAGCUGAUUUGUUCUUAUUUUCUUUGGUUUCCUCCCCGAUUACUUGUAUCUACAUUAACACAUUAAAAGCAAUAAAAAACAACAAAAGUUGAUUAAGACCUUUCAAUUAGAGUUAAAAGCAUCAAAUGUGUUAGCAUCGGCUCACACAUCACUAGUCAGGACACUUGGCCCAAUUAGAUUUCUACCCAUAUCAUUAUUCCGCUAUAAAAGGAAAAGAAUGCUUCUAAAUUGAGUAGUUUUUACAAUCUCGAUUAUUUAAAGAGUGAAAGAGGCCAAAGCUCAAAUUUUCAACAUUGCUCAAGUUUUAAUUUUGCAUGCUGAGAUAAUAUGUAUGUUCUUGAGUCGACUCUUGGUUUGUAAUUGAAUUACUUAUAUUGUAAGACUAAUGUUUUCCUUAUUUUUCUUGAGAGUGCUUAGGUAAAGUUACCUGAGUUUAAAAUUGGUUAGAGUUAAUUAGUAUUGAGGUGUGUUCUUGGCAGAGUUAUCAAGGUAGGCUUAUAGUAGAGUUAUUACAAGUGGAGCCUAGAGUUCAGUUCAAAUCAAAUCUGUAAUUAAGAGGUUGAUUGUGGUGAAUUGUUGAAGUGCUUGUGAGAGCAAGCUGUGGCUUUUCCUCCCCUGAGCAAGGAGGUUUCCACGUUAAAUCCUUGUGUUUUUAAAUUUUUACAAAGCUUUAGCUUUCUUAUAAAUUUACUGCAUUAUUGCCUCUGACUAACUUUAAAGGAACUAGUCCCUUAUAGUGUGGUGCAACCCCCACGUUUCAUCAAUUGGCAUCAGAGCUAAGACACUCUAAAAUGUUCAUACCUAGAGUGAUUUAUUGAUUGUGACUGCUCGGCCUAAUUUGGAAGAAGGGUAAUCUACCACUAAACCACCCUGAUUUAAUGGGCAGUACUAUGGGUGAUGGAAAACAAGAAUGUUUGACUUCAUUAUGGCUAAGGACUAUGAGCUGAUAAAUAUAAUACUUGAUGUUCCUCAUAUUCCUAUUAAAGAGUCAAAGAAGAAGACAUAACAUGGUUGGUUGAUAAAAAUAGGAGAGAGUUUGAUAAUGAAGAUCGAAAGAAAGUUGAAAAAAAUUACAAGGCAAAGAAUUACUUAUUUGUGAAAUAGGACCUGAUGAGUAUAACAUCAUUUCUACUUGUGAAAAUGCUAAAGAAAUCUGGACUGCCUGAAGACAGCUCAUGAGGGAACAACUGAUAUGAAGGAUUCUAAAGUCAACAUGCUUGCUACUUAGUAUGAAACCUUCACCAUGAAAGAAGGAGAGACAAUUCAAGAAAUGCAUACAAGAUUUACUUACAUCACAAAUGAGCUACACUGCUUAGGAAAAGUAUUUUCUUUGUAUAAAUAAGUGAGAAAAAUUUUAGGUGUUCUUUCUAAGUCCUACUAAAGCAAAGUGGAUGCUAUAACUAAGGCAAGAAACCUGAAGACUCUCACUAUGGAUAAGAUCAUUGGUAAUCUAAAGAUUCAUAAGCUUAAGAAGCAGUAAGGACAAGAAAAUAAAGAAGCAAAAGAGAAAAAUCUAUGGCACUGAAGGCUGUAAAAUCUUAUUCAAGUAAAGAAGACACUGAUGUUUUCUAUUUGUCAAAAAAAAAUUGUUAGAGAUAUGAAGAAAAUUUCUCAAUUUCAAAGAAAAUAAAGUAGCGAGAAAAAGGGUGGCAAGGUUGAAGUUUGUCACAAAUGUGGAAGUUAUGUGCAUUUUAUUAAGGACUGUCCAAUGUUCAAGAAAGAUUAUCAGGAAUAUCUCAAGACUGGAGGUGACAAAGGAAAGACAUGGACCAGGUCCAUGUAAUAUCAAGCAGAAUGGCUACAGAUGAUGAUGCAGUAAGGUAGAACCUCGCAGUGUGGGGAGAUUCCUCCAGUGAAUUUGAUGAAGCUGAAAAGGAUAAAGAUGUAUCGAUGCUGGUUGUGGAGGAGUGUUAAGUUACCUAUUAUUCCUUGUUUUCUCACAUGGAAAACACUAAAAAUAAAUUAGAAAUGAGGUAACUUUCUCUGAUAUUAACAAAAAUUGAGAUAACUACUCUGUUAGAAAGAUAAAGAAGCUAGGAAAUAUGUUGAUUGAUUAUAUGUGUGAACUUACUACUGAGAAAAAUGCUCUAGAAGAGAAAGUUGAGAAUCAAGAGCUUGAAUUAAUUUGUUUAACUCUCCAAAUUUCUGAAACAAAAGAACAGUUUGCUAAGUUAAAAUUUGAUAAUUUGAGUUUAUUGAGUCAACUGGAGAAAGUAAAUGACUCUGAGGAUAAAGGAAAGAAAAAAGCUUUAAGGCUUCAGAUUGAAUUUGAAGAUAAAUUGAGGGAUUCUUAAAAGAACCUUAUGACUACCUUCUAUAAGAAUGAAGAGUUAGAAAAGGACUUGGUCCAUCAAAAGGAAGAACUUAACAAAUCACUAAAAUAGACCACAUCCUCACAAAUCCAUUCUAAUCUAACAUACCCACUUACUUGGGUCUUAUGGGAAAGCUAUUCAUGGUAUUAGAAAUAGGGUUCAUAAACCUCUAUGUACUCAUUGUGGAAGAGAUGGACAUUGGAAGGAAAACUUUUAGUAUUUGGGUAAAUCUAAAAUGAGCAGUCCUAAUUGCAUUCAGUUAGGAAAAUUAUUAUUCUAAGGGUUUCAUGUCCUUGAAAAGUAUGAAGAAGAAUUCUCUACAUAGAUGGGUCAAGAAAGAAUUGAUCACACCUUUGUCAUUCUAUUGGGAAGUCAAACUCAAGUGGGUUCCUAAAUCUAACAAAUAAUUAUGUUUAAAGGUAUGAGGAGGGGAAUGCUGUUAGAACUGGUACAUGGAUAGUGGAUGUUCAAAUCAUAUGACAGGACUAACUUUUUUUUCUCUUAAUACACUUCAAGUUGGAGGUAUCUCUUUUAGAAAUGGCAAAAAGGGCUAUAUUCAUGGUGGGGAAAGAUUGGAAAAUGACCUAAUAAAGCAAUAAAAGAUGUGUACUAUGUGAAUGGGCUCAAGUACAAUCUUCUAAGUGUUUCUCAAAUAUGUGACAAAGGCAGUGAGGUUAAAUUUUCAGCUGAUAAAUGUACUAUGUCAAGCUUGAAAUAUGGGAAAUUUAUUCUCAAAGACAAGAGAAUAAAAAAUAUGUAUGUGGCUGAUUUGGACUCUGUGACUAAUGGACAAUUAAAUUAAUUUAGUGUUCUAAGUGAAGAUGCUGAUUUAUGACACAAAAGGCUGAGACAUAUAAGUUUCUCUUUGCUGAAGAAAUUGAGUUCAAGGGACCUCAUUCGUUGGAUGCCAAAUCUAAAAUUUCCUGACAACAAGGUUUGUAAUGCCUAUGUUAAGGGAAAACAAACCAGGUAUUCCUUUAAGCUGAAGAAGAAGGUGAGUACUUCUAUACCCCUAGAGAUGCUGCAUAUGGAUCUAUGUGGAUCUAUUAAAGUCUAAAGAAAAGGAGGAAAAAGUAUGUGUCGAUGAUUGUGAUUGUGGAUGACUACUCAAGGUUCACUUGGACCGUUCUUGAGAACAAAAGAUGAAACCUAUGACGUUUUUGUUACCUUUGGUAAGAAAAUUCAAAUAAAGCUGAAUUGUAAGAUUGCUCAAUUCAGGUCUGAUCAUGGAACUGAAUUUGAAAACUCCCAAAUUAUAGGAUUCUGUGCUGAAAAUAGAAUCAAUCAUAACUUCUCUGCUCCAAGGACUCCUCAGCAAAUGGAGUAGUUGAAAGAAAAAAAAAGAACUCUCAUAGAUACUACUAGGACCAUGUUAAUUGAUAGUGGGCAUCCAAAGAACUUUUGGACUGAAGCUGUAAACACUGCUUGUUAUGUGACAAAUAGGUGCUUAAUUAGAUCACUCCUGAACAAAACCCCAUAUGAGCUUGUGUUUAAUUGAAAGACUAAUCUUGAAUACUUCAGACCAUUUGGGUGUAAAUGCUUUAUUCUAAACAAUGGGAAGAAUGAUCUAGAAAAGUUUGACUCUGAGAGUGAUGAAACAGUAUUUGUGGGCUAUUCCUCAACAAGUAAAACAUACAAAAUUUUCAACGAAAGAACUCUGCGUGUUGAAGUAAGUGCCGUGGUUUUUGAUGAGUUAGGAAAGCUAAUAAAUCAUGAUAAUGGUGAAAAAUUAGAGAAUGAAGAGCUCAUUCCUGUUCAAAGAGAUAAUAUUACUAAAGAUGAUGGUCAAGAGGUUUAUGAUGCAGAUAAGAAUGAUUGGAGUGAUGGUGAUCUAGGAUCUCAGUCAUAGAUCCCAGCUUCAGCUGAAGAAUAAUAAAAAUGAUCCAGUCAAACUUUUUAGGGACCUAGUCCUAGUAGAACUAAUCUCAGAAGGUCAAACUGGUGGCAUAAAUCUUCUCAUCCACUUUAGAAUCUAACUAAACCUUUGGAAUCUGGAGUUUAAAAAAUAACUCAAGCCAAAAAUUUCAUUGCAUUUUAAGCAUUCCUGUUCCAAAUUAAACCUAAAAAUGUAAAAGAAGCACUAAAAUAUGUUGACUGGAUCAAUGCAAUGGAGGAAGAGCUUCAGCAAUUUAAAAUAAGUAAAGUCUGGAACCUGGUCCCCAAACUUAUUGACAGAAUAAUAAUUGACACUAAGUGGGUGUACAAAAACAAGCAUGAUGAACAAGGAACUAUCAACAAAAAUAAAGCAAGGAUGAUUGUUCGAAGGUAUAACCAGGAGGAAGGAACUGAUUAUGAUGAGAUAUUUUCCCCUGUAUCAAGAAUAAAGGCUAUCAAGAUUCUUAUUGCCUUUUAUACCUAUAUGGGGUUCAAGCUCUUUCAAAUGUACGUUAAAAGUGCAUUUCUAAAUAGAAACUUAAAGGAAGAAGUUUAUGUCAAACAACCUCUAGGCUUUGAAGAUGCAAAUUUUCCUCAUCAUAUACUCAAAUUGGACAAGGCUCUCUGUAGGUUAAAGUAAGCUCCUAGGGCUUGGUAUGAGGUACUUUUAAAGUUACUUUUGGAAAAUGGCUUUAAAAGAGGGAAAAUUGAAAAUACUCUCUUUUUAAAGUCCAGAGGUAGCAACUUACUGGUUAUUUGAAUAUAUGUUGAUUAUAUUAUCUUUGGAGCUACUUCUGAAUCCCUGUGUGAAGAGUUUACAAACUAAUAGGGAGUGAAUUAGAAAUGAGCAUAAUGGGAGAAAAGAGUUUCUUCCUAGGUUCGCAGAUCAAGCAAACUUCUCAAGGGACAAUGAUUUAUCAGGAAAAUUACAUCAAGGAGAUUCUGAAGAAAUACAAUAUAGGAGAUUCCAAGACAAUAGAAAAUCCAAUUGGAACCAACUCCAAGAUGGAUAGUGAUUAAUUUAGUCCCUCAGUUAAUGAUACCAUGUAUAAAAAGAUUAUUGGAUCCUUACGAUAUCUCACUAAAAGCAGGCCUACUAUUGUGUUUAGUGUGGGAAUGUGUGUAAGAUUUCAGGUCUGUCCUAAGGAGUCUGAUUUGAAAGCUCAAAAUGAAUUCUCAUGGUAUAGGGGACCUGGUCCUAUAUUGUUCUUCUGGAGACUGUUUUGAUUUAUUAGGAUAUGCUGAUGAUGAUUAUGCUGGCUAUCUGGUGGAUAGAAAAGUACCUCUAAAAUGGCUUAUUUUCUGGGCUCUUCCUUAAUCUCCAGGGGUUCUAAGAAGCAGAAUUCAGUUGCUUUAUCUACUGUUGUAGCUGAGUAUAUGGAUGCAACUUUUUUUAUGCUUAAUUGUUAUGGAUGAAACAUCAACUGAAGGUCUUUAGUAUGGUCUCAAACACUAUCCCUCUAAUGUGUGACAGCAUAAGUGCUCUCAACAUGGCCAAGAAUCUAGUGCAAUAUAAGACCAAGUACAUUGAUGUGAGACAUCACUUUCUGAGAGAUAAUGUUGAGAAGAAAGCUAUUUCCAUGAUGCUUUACAACACUGAAACUGAAAUAGAAGAUGAAUUUACUGAGGCACUUCACAAGGAACAAUUUGUGAAAAAUAGGAUGAGGCAUGGGUUGAUCAAAAAUAACAUGACCUACUAGAUAAAUCAGUUUUCUCCCUAAAAAUGGCUAUGAUUAGGAGAUUUGUAUCCUCGGUAAAGUAUGUACUUGUUGUUCUAAAUUUAUAUCAUACCUUUGUAGGUAUUCACCCAUGGGAACAACUUUGGAGGAGGACAAAUGUGACAUGCAUAAAGUUGAGGAUUCACUCAAGAAAAAGAGAGACCUGGUCCCAUCUCACAAGUUAGUGUCGUGAAUGUGCAGUUUUUGUAUUCUGUCAGAAGAAGCCAUGUGCACUCUCUUUCUAUGUUAGAAACUUAUCCUAUUCACAAAGAAAGGAUGAGUCACCCUAAAAUUGAAAUCGAUCACAUCUCAUUCUCACAAAAACUCUUCCUUGUGCUUAUUUGUUCCUUUAAAUCUUACUGUACCCACUCCUUCUCUUGUCAUAUGGAAUAAUCUAGUAAAAAAUAGCCCUCCUAUGAAAAGGAAAUCCAAAUGGCUACAAAUUUCCCAUUCUCUUAUCUUUCAAAGGACUCUGAGGUAGCAUAGAUAAAAAUCGUCUCUCAAAUUCUCUUGAAAAACACCUUCCUUCUCCUAGUUUUCAAAGGCCAAACUCCUUCUUUACUCAACCUGUUGGUGAAGAAUCAUCCUUAAAACCUCAAAAUAUUUCUGGUAGCAAAUUGAUGGAUGAUGCCUUAUUUGCUGAAAAUCUCAUCUUGCUUUCAAAUAGCCCAAGAAAGAGUGUAUUUAGUCCUAAUAAAAAAACUAUCAGUAAGAUAAAAAGAAAUCCCAAAGAGGAGUAUAAAAGCUUUGUUGAGAAGUAGCAAACUUCUGAAGGACCUGGUUCUAAGAAGAGAAAAAUGACUGAAGAAGAAUCCAUAAAAAAAGGGAAAAAAUGGAAUAAAAAAGAAAGGUUGUGUCUACAGAAGUGAGAAACAGACUUUUGAAAAAUCAAAAGGUACUAAUUGGGAGAAUCUUUGACUCAAAUAUGUUAAUAAAACUAGGUAUUAUAAAAUUAGUUGAGCUUGUUAAACAUCAAGGAUGGAUUUAUCUUAUGGAAUGAACCUUUCCCAUAGUUUCUGAUGAGGUAGUUGAUAAAUUCUAUUCCACAUUAAUUUUUUCUGAAGAUAGACUGCAGAUGAAUGCUGUAGCUCAAGGAAAGAAGAUGAAUCUUGAUGCUGUAUCACUUGGAGAAUUUUAUAGGUUUCUAUCAGUGGUGUGAGGACUAUCUCAAAACAAAAGCUAUCAAUAGCGUUCAUGGCAAAUGCAUUAAUGUUUAAAGAAAAAUCUGUAGCUGUAGUGAAUAGGAAAUCACUCAAAAGUAAAGCCCAAUUGGUCUUUGAUUUUGUAAACAAAGUGCUUCUGCCUAGAUCAUAAAAGAGGAACAUUGCUCCAACUGCUGAUUUGUAUAUGGAGUGUCUUGGCAAUUUUGAGUUUAUUUAUUUACCGACAUUAAUGAUGGAGCACAUGCAUAAGGUUAUUCUUGAGAAAAAUUGAAAACAUAGCAUGCCUUAUGGAUAUUAGUUGAAUAAAGUGUUUGGUCAUUUUGGUAUUGUCUGUAAAAAUGGAACUCCUGGAACUAUUCUACAACUAUUUGGUAUGAAGACUUUAGUCAAAACUGAAUGUGUGAAAAAAAAAAUCAGGUGGCAUCUCUCAAGAUGAGCUCAACAAGAUAAUAGAGGAUUUGAAAUUCAACAUAGCUGCAAAGGGUGGAGAGAUUAACAAAUUUCAAGUGACAAUUCAGCAUCUUUCCAAAAAGGAUCCAAGUGUCUCUAAAGAGCUUAGCACUGAGAAUGCUGAACUCAAAAAGAGAGUUUCAAAUUUGACUGGUUAGGUUCAUAGCUUGAAUAGAGAUAAGACAUCUAACUAAGGAAUUGUUACACUAUUAUACUACAGAGAAUAAUAACAUGGCUCUACUUCUCCAAACCCUCUUCCUAGGUUCGUUACCUGUUAAUCUUUCUUGAUUUCUGUGGGUUUUUCUCUAGAAUAUUUAAAUUAUGCACUGCAAUGAUACUUACCUUUUGCAUAUGAAUGAAUCUCAGUUAGAGUUAAUCAAUAUUGAGGUAUGUUCUUGACAGAAUUGUCAAGGUAGGCUUGUAAUAGAGUUAUUACUAGAAGGUGGAGCCUAGAGUUAGGUUUAAAUCAAAUUUGUAAUCAAGAGAUUGAUUAUAGUUGAUUGGUGAAGUGUUUGUGAGGGUAAGCCAUGGUUUUUCCUCCCUUGAGCAAGGAGGUUUCCACGUUAAAUCCUUGCGUUUUUAAAUUCCUGCAAAGUUUUAGUUUCCUUACAACUUUACUAUAGUUAUUACCUGUGAUUGACUUUAAGGGACCUGGUCCCUUAUUGUGUGCUGCAACCCUUACAUUUUAUCAUGGUCGGUUACUUGUCAUCGGUUAUAGACAUGUCUAAAAUUCUUUGUUCUUAUAUUAUGUUAUCUUAUUCAGAAUUCAUCUGACUUAGGAGUAUGAUGUUUUAUUUGGUUAGGUAAAGGGGGUGGUCUCCGAUCCUUAUUGGACUUGAGAUACCCAUCAUGGCCAGGCCUUGGUUAGGAUUGUGACAAAGUUGCUAUUAGAGCCAGGUUUGGUGUCAUUAAGUUUCAAUAAAGUCAUGUCAAUUAAAGUUUUUUUUAUAGGUGUAUAGCGUGCUGCACUUAUAAGGGGUAGGCUAUGAGGCAUUUAGGAAUGUUUUUCUUUCUUGUAAUCUACUAUUGGGCUGUAGAGUCAAAGAUCUUGAAAUCUCCUAUAAUUCACAUUUGUUCGCUUUUUAGAUCAUACCUCCUAAAAGAUCUGAUGUUCAUUGAAACUUCUAUGUCUUACCCGAGGAUAAUGUGGAUGAGGCUCAUCCUACUUAAGGAGUUAAGACCCAGUCUAGGAUACUACUUCUGAUUGCCCUAGUGGAGUUCCACCGGUCCCCACUAAUCCUUCUACUGUUGGUAACUCUAUUGCUUGGUCACCUCCAGGAGAUAUUACCAAUGCAGAGUUUCGCCAUUCCAUUUAUCUAUUGACCCUGUUGGUGACAUGUCAGUUAUGUCAGUUGGGUCCUAUUGGUGCUGUUGUGAGUUCUUAUAAGGCCACUAGAGUUGGCCACUUUAUGAGGCUGAAUCCUCUGACCUUUAUAGGUUCUAAGGAUGAGGAAAAUCCUCAAGGGCUCAUAAAUGAGUCGGAUAAAAUUCUCUAUGUGAUCCAUGCUUCUGAUUUGGAGGGUUGGAGUUCACUGUAUACCACCUGAAGGAUGUGGAGUAUCAGUGGGAUUAGGAGUGGGACUAGUCUAGGGGAGAUAAAGCUGAGUUGGAUUUAUGAAAGGAUUUCUCUAGUGUUUUUCUUGAUCACUUUUUCCCUCUAAGGAAGGCAAAUUCUUAGAAGUUCGUGAAUUUGAAGCAAGGCAAGAUGAUUGUGAAGGAGUAUGCCUUUAAUAUUCAUCAGUUGUCCCGUUAUGCUCCUGAGCUAGUAUCUAAUAUAAGGGCUAAGAUGAGGAAGUUUGCUUCGGGCUUAUCUCUAGACUUAGUGUUGGAGUGUAAGGCUGCUUUGUUGAACAGUGAUAUGGAUAUCUCUAGGCUUGUGGUGUAUAUGCAAUAAGUGAAUGAUGAGAAGGAAAAACAUCCAGAUAUCAAGAAAAGGAAGAGUAAGCAACCUCAGUUUUCUAAGUAGGGUGGUGGCCAGCAAAAUGGUGGCAAGGAUGGCAGACAGUGGUCUAAGAAGAAGUAAGAAAAUCCUGGUUCUUAUUCUACGGCUAAUGAUAAUAUUCUAAGCCAUAUGGUGAUCACCUUUUUCCGAGCAACAGUUGAUUUAAGGCACAAGGUGUUGUCUCACCCAAUUUUUCUCACGAAAAGCGGGAUUCAACAUGAGCACACUUUUUGGGGUAGUUUAAAGGAAGAGUAUGAAGAGUCGCCACCUAACGUAUUAAGGUGCGUUAGGACACCAAUCAGGCUACUACAAACCUAUUUUGUUUUAGUUCACUAGAGAUUUGGGUAAGGGUUUAAAUUACCUUGAAAGUAAGGUGUUAGGCACCUUUAAGGUUCACAAAGGUGGUUCCCGGCCAAAUUUGUAUUUUACGUGGGGAUUCUAUGUGAUCAAAUAAAGGUCUCUUGUUUUAUUAUUAACUUGAAUGUUGACUAAGUGAUAAAGUAACGAGUAAACAAACAUGUUAUUUUAUUAUUUCUAAUUAUUAACUAGGUGGUGAUAAAAAAAAGAUAACAAAUAAUGUAAAGUAGAGAAGAAAGAAGGAAAAGCAAUUUAUAACAAAAUAUUUAUGAAUUUUAAAAGAACUAAACUACCUCAAGCAACAAGCAUGCAAAGUAAUGUAAACAAACAAGGAAGAAAUCAUCAAAUCAAACAAAGAAAUGUUUUGGUCUCAUUCAGAUCAGAACUCUAACUUGUUUAAUCAUCAUCCGACCCACUGGCCGAACUCUUAGAGAAGUCAUGUGUCUUACCUUUAAUGUCUGUUGGAGAUCAUCACUUUUGAAUGACUACCUAUCUCACCCCUCCUAGGCUGGAUGUCAAAUCUAAAGGCGUCCUAGGACAAGGAUAAAACUAACGUCUUCAGAGUACCGAUAAUCCCACCUAUCGUCCAAGAGACAUUGGACUUUGUUAUUUUGGUUUUUAUGGUCUAGACAAAAUAAAGCUUUGUUACCUAGGACUCGAAGCGCAUAAUAAGCAGGACGUCACGUAGCACAUAAUUAUACCAAGUUAGCCUUUUGGUUAGUUAAAAUUUAUUAAUGUGAUUAACAUACAAAGAUGAUAAUAGAUUGUUUUUAUUUAGUUAACCUAUAGGGAUGAUAGCUAAGUGUUCAACAAUCCUUUAAAAUGACAAAAGAUAACUGUGAUUCACAUCUAAAUAAUGUGCUGCCAAUUUGUUAAAAGAGAAUGUCAAAGCGUGGUAAAUAUGUCAAGGAGUUGUGCUUAUGUAUUUCAUUGUGCAUGACAUGUUAUAAACUAAUGACAGUGUAGGAAAUUAAAGGUACAUGUUAAAAAUGCUCAAAAACCUACUUUUUAUCAUGUUGGAAAUUGUGUAAGUACGCAGGAAUUUCAUAGUGACAUGCUGGAAAAGGCGAUAACAUGCUGAAAAUGCCUUACCAUGCUGAAUAUUAUGUCAAUAGUGUAGGAAUUUUAUAUUAACAUGCUUGAAAGUACAAUAAUAUGUAGAAAUCCGGUGUUAACAUGUUCAUAAACUUUUAACAUGCUGUAAUCUGUGUUGACAUGCUAAAGUAUGCAAUGGUAUACCUAAUAUACUAUUCAACAUGCUAAAAUAUUUAAACUUAAUUUAAACGUGCUGAUACUGUAUUAAUGCGCAGUUGUUUUAUGUUAAUCAUGUUGAAAGUGUAUUAACACACUUGGACUUGUGUUUACACGCUGAAACAUUCGAUGACAUAAUUAAUUCUAAUAUUGAAUAUGCUGAAAUAUGUAUUAAUAUCCAGGAGUUUAAUUUAUCACGGCGGACAUUGGUUCGUGUAAUAACCCAAAUUUUUCGUAAUCUAAAUUUCUCCUCAAGAAGGUUAAGGAGUGACUUCCUAGGUGAGUAUAGUUUUAACAAUAUAGAAUUUCCCUAAUUUUAAUUUUUUAUCACAUGGGAAAUUUGAUAAGCUCUCUGUCGAUAUAAGAUUCGCCCAAAUCGAUGCUUGGACAAGAAGUUAUGGCUAAUUUAAGUUCUAGUUGUAAAACAACGUCAUUUUAGUGCUUGGCGCAUUGCGGAGAGGGUCUAUUUGAAAAUUAUCAAAUUCAAGUGGAACUCCACGAUAGUGGCAUGUCACAGAGGACCCCGAUUUCCCAAUAGUCAAUUUCCAGUGGCCUAACACUAUUAUGAUGCGUCGCGCUGAAGUUCCAGGUCCCUACUCACUACAUUCCCAAGUACUAUCCAUAUAUAUGUCUAUGUGUUACAUUGUCUAAUAAUGUAGGUUCAGGUACUCAGUCCCAGCCUCGUUAGUGAUUUUUGAGUACCUUUGUGUACAUCUCCACAGUGGUUAUUCCUCAUGGUUUGAGGAACUAUCUUAAAACAUUUCAGUAUUUUAGUAGAUAUAUUAUUGCUUUCAGUUCAGUUUGAGUUAGUUGGGGGCCUGUCCUAAUGGCUCUCUAGUCAUAGAGUAGUUGAGGCUUUGUCAGACUAGUUAUCAGAUUGUUAGUAUGUUGAAUUUCUAGUAUUGUGGUCAUUUGGACCGAGUAUUUUCUUUGUAUUUCAUAUCAUUUGAUAUGACAAUACAAGUGUUUUGUUUAUUUCAUCUCGAAAUAAGUUAUUAUAUGUAGUAAUAGGCUCAAAGGGUUAGCGUGGGGAUACUUGUAGCCUUAAGCACUGUGUGGUGCUUUGAGAUGAGAUUUUGGGACGUUACAAACUUGGUAUCAGAGCCUAAGGUUUAAGGAGUCCUAGGGAGUCUGAAAAGCCACAUUAAGUAGAGUCUUGAUCAUCGGUGUGUAGCGCGCCACACCUAUGAGCAAGAGGCUACCAGGCGUUCUAGGAAAACAUUGUUUAUUUCUUUUAGAUUCUAUCGUGCUUACAGUUAUCCCCCUUAUCUAAUAAUUUGUGCUCUCCUAUUUCAGAAAAUGCCUUCUCGAAGAGCGAACGUCCGCAGAAACGAUAGUGAGCAACCCCAUCCUGUUGAUCCCUUAAAUGAGACUGUGUAUCAUGCUAAGUUUCGAGCGGCCUUUUAGACGUUAGCCUAAGCAGUCACUGCCAAUGUUUAGACCAAUAACCAGGCCGCAGUUCCAAAUCAAUAGGGAGGUGAUUUAGCUGUUGCACGGAUUCUUGAUUUCAUGCAGAUCAAUCUGCCAGAGUUUUAUGGGUCUAAGGUAGGUGAGGACACACAGUUAUACCUUGAGGAGGUGAGAAAUAUCACACAGGUGAUGCAUGUUUCUUAUAGGCUGAAAGACAUAGCGCAUGACUGGGUGGUUGCAUGGAAGAAGACUACAAGGAAAGGUGAUAUCCCCAUUACUUGACAGGUGUUCCAAGAUGCGUUCUUGGAUAAGUUCUUUCCGUUAGACAUUGAGGAGGUGAAAAUAGAGGAGUUUAUGAAUGUAAGGCAAGGCUCUAUAACUAUUAAGGAGUACUUCUUGAAGUUCAACCAGUUAGCCAAGUACGCUCCUGAUUUGAUUUCUGGCACCCAAGCUAGUAUGAGCAAGUUUGUGACUGGUGCUUCUGGUUUGGUACUAAAAGAGUGUAGGACUGCGAUGCUGAAUAGGGAUAUGGAUCUAUCUAGGUUGAUGAUACAUACAUAACUGAUAGAGGUAGAUAAAAUAAGGGAGAGAGAUAGAGUGAGGGAUAACAAGAGGGCUAGAUCUGAGCAACAUGAGUAUAGUCAGGCUAGGUCCCAUGGAGGAAACCGGCCACAGUUCUAGGGCCGUUCGUCUAUGACAGUGCCUUGAUCAGCAAUUGCUCCCGCUUUUAGAGGUAGGCAGGAGCAUGGGAACAUGUCUUCUAUGUCCCGAUCCCAGAACAGUGUAAGUAAUAGGCCCUGCUAUUCUCCAUGUGCUAAGAUAGUAGAGAUCAUCCCAGUGAGUGUUUAGCAGACCAGAGGGGUUGUUUCAGUUAUGGUAAGCUGGGCCACAGACUUAGAGAUUGUCUGCAUGCUAUGCAGGGGAACAGAGAUGCCCGACCCAGAACAUAGACUACUAGUGCACCAGCUCCUGUAGCUUGUUCCGCCCCUGCUCAAGGCACUUCAUCUAGCACUACUGGUAGUCAGCGCCAUAAAAGAUUCUAUGCCUUACCAUCCCAUCAGGAGCAGGAGGAUUCCGUCGAUGUUGUUACUGGUAUGAUUCGUGUCUUUUGCUUUGAUAUUUUUGUAUUGCUGGUCCCCGGAUCAAGUUUCUCUUAUAUGACCCCAUUAGUUGCUGUGAAUUUCAAAAUGAGUCCCGAGAAGAUUCUUGAGCCUUUCCUAGUUUCCACACCAGUAGGAGAGUCGAUUGUUGCUAAACAAAUGCAUAGAGAUUGUCCUGCUAUAGUUCUUCAUAGAGUCAUAUUUGCUGAUUUGAUAGAGUUGAACAUGGUGGAUUUCAACCUUAUUCUGGGUAUGGAUUGGCUUCAUUCUUGUUAUACAUCUAUAAACUAUCGUACACGUGUGGUCAAGUUUCAAUUCUCUAAUGAACCAGUUUUUGAGUGGUUCGGGAGUUUGGUAUCUCCCAAGAGUCAUUUUAUCUCUUAUCUCAAAGCUAUAAAGAUAAUAUCCAAUGGUUGCCUCUAUCGCCUAGUUAGAUUCAAAGAUACUAAGUCCGAGGCUCCAACUAUUUAGUCAGUUAACAUUGUUAGUGAGUUUCCUGAUGUUUUUUGGAAGAUCUCCCAGGGGUACCUCCCCAUAGAGAGAUUGAAUUUGGGAUUGACCUUCUUUCGGAAACUCAGCCUAUUUCUAUUCUGCCAUACCGUAUGGCACCUGCAGAGCUUAAGGAGUUGAAAGAGCAACUCAAAGAUCUUUUAGAUAAAGGAUUCAUAAGGCCCAGUGUCUCUCCUUGGGGUGCACCUGUUCUUUUUAUGUGAAAGAAAUAUGGUUCUUUGUGUAUGUGCAUUGACUAUCGUCAGUUUAACAAGGUCACAGCUAAGAAUAAGUGCCCCUUUCGAGAAUUGAUGUCCUAUUUGAUCAGUUGCAAGGUGCAAGUUGUUUCUCCAAGAUAAACCUUAGAUCCGGCUAACAUCAGCUUAAAGUGAGGGAAUAUGAUAUUCCAAAGACAGCCUUCCAAACCCGUUAUGGUCACUUUGAGUUUCUAGUCAUGUUUUUUGGGCUAACCAAUUCCCCACUAGACUUUGUGGACCUUAUGAAUUGAGUUUUCAAGCAAUAUCUUGAUAUUUUUGUCAUUGUUUUCAUAGAUGAUAUCCUUGUGUACUCCCAUACUGAGAACAACCAUGCAGAUCAUCUUAGAGUUAUCUUGCAAACUCUUAGAGAUCACCAGUUGUUUGAUAAAUUCAACAAGUAUGAAUUUUGUCUAAGAUCAGUAGCCUUUCUGGGUCAUAUUAUUUCAGCCAAAGGCAUUAGAGUUGAUCCCCAAAAGAUAGAAGCCGUAAGAAAUUAGCCUAGACCUAUCUCUCCGUUUGACAUUAGAAGUUUCUUGGGUUUAUCUAGCUACUAUUUCCAUUUUGUUAAAGGUUUCUCUUCUAUUGCAUCCCCUAUGACCCGGUUGGCCCAAAACAAAGUUAAGUUCCAGUGGUCAGAUUUCUUUUAGAAGAGUUUUCAAGAGUUGAAGACUCGACUUACUUCAUCCCCUGUGUUGAAUUUGCCUGAUGUACAUGUGGUUUUGUGGUAUAUUAUGAUGCCUCUAGAGUUGGUUUGGGUUGUGUGUUGAUGCAAAGUGGUAAGGUUAUAGCCUAUGCCUCUAGACAGUUAAAGCCAAAUAAAAAGAACUACCCAACCCAUGAUCUUGUGUUAGUUGCUGUGGUCUUUGCUUUUAAAAUAUAGAGACACUAUCUUUAUAGUUUUCAUGUUGACGUGUUGACUAAUCACAAAAGCCUGCAAUAUAUGUUUACUCAGAGAGAGUUGAACCUUAGGCAGAAGAGGUAGUUAGAGUUGUUAAAGGACUAUGAUAAGAGUAUGUUGUAUCACCCAGGCUAGGUCAAUAUAGUGAAAGAUACCCUUAGUAGGUUAUCUAUGGGUAGUGUUACUUAUGUAGAAAAAAAUAUAACAAAGAGUUAGCUUGUGAUGUGCAUCGUUUGUCUAGAAUGGGUGUUAGGUUGCUUGAUUUCGCUGAGGGAAGUACUUUGGUGCAAAGUAGUUCCGAAUCCUCUUUAGUUUCAAAAGUGAAAAAGAAGCAAAACUUAGAUGAUAUUUGGUCAAACUGAAGGGGUCUGUUAAGGACCAAAAGGUAGAGGUCUUCUCCCAAGGGGGAGAUAGUGUGCUGAGAUUAUAGAGUAUAUUAUGUGUUCCUAGUGUGGGUGAUCUAAAGUAGAGAAUUAUGGCUGAAGCGCAUGGCGCACGAUAUUCUAUUCAUCCUGGCGCUACCAAGAUGUACCGCGACUUGCGGGAAAUUUAUUGGUGGUGUGGUAUGAAGAAGGAUAUAGCUGGGUUUGUAGCGAAGUGCAUAAUAUGCCAACAGGUUAAGAUAGAGUACCAAAGACCCGGUCGUGUGAUCCAAGAGUUCGGUAUUCCCACUUGGAAGUGGAAAGGGAUGAAUAUGGAUUUUGUGACUGGUUUACCUCUUUUACGGUGUCAUCAUGAUUCUAUUUAGGUUGUUGUAGAUAGAUUGACUAAGUCAGCACAUUUUCUACCUGUGCAUACAUCUUAUACAACUAAGGUUUAUACUAGAUUGUAAAUUCGAGUGUUGGUCAGGUUGCAUGGAGUUUCCUUGUCUAUCAUCUCAGAUAGGGGUACUCAGUUCACUUCUCAGUUUGGAGAGCUUUCCAGAGGGGUCUUGGCACCCAAGUUCAUUUGAGUUAAGAUUUUCAUCUACGGACAGAUGGUCAGGCUGAGAGGACCAUUGAGACCCUAGAAGAUAUGUUGAGGACGUGUGAACUUGAUUUCAAAAGUAGUUGGGAUGAGCAUUUUCCACUGAUCGAGUUUUCAUAUAACAAUAGUUACCAUGCUAGCAUCGAGAUGACACCAUUUGAGGCUUUGUAUGGCAGAAGAUAUAAAUCCCUCAUAGGUUGGUUUGAAGUGGGUGAGGAUGCUGUAAUUGGGAAUGAUGAAGUAUUUAAGGCUAUAGAGAAGGUAAAGUUGAGUAGAGUAAGGUUGAAGAUAGCUUAGAGUCGUCAAAAGUCAUAUACCAAUGUGAGGAGAAGAGACCUUGAGUUUGAGGUGGGUGAUUUGGUGUACUUGAAGAUUUCACCUAUGAAAGGGGUGAAGAGGUUUGGUAGAAAAGGAAAGCUUAGCCCUCAUUAUGUUGGCCCCCUAUACAGUCUUGAGCCACGUUGGUAAAGUAUCCUAUGAAGUUGAGUUGCCCAUCGAGUUGUCAGCCAUUCAUCCUAUCUUUCAUGUCUCCAUGCUUAAGAAGCACAUUGGUGAUUCCGUGGUAGUAGAUCCUUCGGAGAGCGCUGAUAUUCAGACUAGUCUUUUAUUUGAUGAGGUUUCCAUUGAGAUUCUAGAUUACCCAAUCCGUAGACUGAGGAACAAAGAGGUUAACUUGGUCAAGGUCUUAUGGCAGAAUUAGUCAGCUGAGGGCGCUACUUGGAAAGCCGAGGCAGACAUGCGAGCGAAGUACCCGUACCUCUUUUCCGCGAGUUCAGAUCAAGCCGAUGGUAAUAUACUUCCUUAAUACAGGCUCUUCUAAUCUAAAGUUUAGCGAUGCCUCUACCCUUAUUAAGUUCAUGCAUUCUCUAAAGUAUUCAAGAGUUUAGAAAGACAUAGAGUCAGUUUAGCGAGUUUUUCCAGCUUUACGUACUUAAUUUACUCCAUGCUCUUAGCUUAACAAGCGAUAUUCGUGGACGCAAGUUUCCAAAAGAGAGAUAUUGUAAUGCCCCAAAUUUUUCCUAAGAUGUAUUUCUCUUCAAGAAGGUUAAGGAGUGAAUUCCAAGGUGAGUAUCGUUUUAACCAUAUAGAAUUUCCCUAAUUUCGAUUUUUUUAUCACAUGGAAAAUUUUAUAAAAUUUCCGUUGAUAAAAGAUUCGGCCAAAUCCGAUGCCCGGGCAAGAAGUUAUGGGUAAUUUAAGUCCUAGUCAUAAAUAGUGUCAUUUUAGUGCUUGGCGCAUCCGGGGAGGAUCUAUUUGAUAAUUGUCAAAUUCCAGUGGAACUCCGCAAUAGUGGUGCAUCGCGG